ACAGGGGAAGCUAAAGCAGAAGCGCCGGUCUUGUAAACCAGAAAUUGAAUUAUAUUUUCUCCCUGUG
rnacentral:tRNA from 1 species